rnacentral:rRNA from 1 species
GACGAACGCUGGCGGCGUGCUUAACACAUGCAAGUCGAACGAUGAAGCCGGAGCUUGCUCUGGUGAAUUAGUGGCGAACGGGUGAGUAACACGUGAGUAACCUGCCCUCGACUCUGGGAUAACUGCGGGAAACUGUAGCUAAUACCGGAUACGACCCUCGGAGGCAUCUCCUGGGGGUGGAAAGAAUUUCGGUCAAGGAUGGACUCGCGGCCUAUCAGCUAGUUGGUGAGGUAAAGGCUCACCAAGGCGACGACGGGUAGCCGGCCUGAGAGGGUGACCGGCCACACUGGGACUGAGACCCGGCCCAGACUCCGACGGGAGGCAGCAGUGGGGAAUAUUGCACAAUGGGCGCAAGCCUGAUGCAGCAACGCCGCGUGAGGGAUGACGGCCUUCGGGUUGUAAACCUCUUUUAGCAGGGAAGAAGCGAAAGUGACGGUACCUGCAGAAAAAGCACCGGCUAACUACGUGCCAGCCGCCGCAGUAA